rnacentral:rRNA from 1 species
CGCGGCCUAUCAGCUUGUUGGUGAGGUAAUGGCUCACCAAGGCGACGACGGGUAGCCGGCCUGAGAGGGCGAUCGGCCACACUGGGACUGAGACACGGCCCAGACUCCUACGGGAGGCAGCAGUGGGGAAUAUUGCACAAUGGGCGAAAGCCUGAUGCAGCGACGCCGCGUGAGGGAUGAAGGCCUUCGGGUUGUAAACCUCUUUCAGCAGGGAAGAAGCGAGAGUGACGGUACCUGCAGAAGAAGCACCGGCUAACUACGUGCCAGCAGCCGCGGUAAUACGUAGGGUGCAAGCGUUGUCCGGAAUUAUUGGGCGUAAAGAGCUUGUAGGCGGUUUGUCGCGUCUGCUGUGAAAUUUCGGGGCUCAACCCCGAACUUGCAGUGGGUACGGGCAGACUAGAGUGUGGUAGGGGAGACUGGAAUUCCUGGUGUAGCGGUGAAAUGCGCAGAUAUCAGGAGGAACACCGAUGGCGAAGGCAGGUCUCUGGGCCACUACUGACGCUGAGAAGCGAAAGCAUGGGGAGCGAACAGGAUUAGAUACCCUGGUAGUCCAUGCCGUAAACGUUGGGAACUAGGUGUGGGCCUCAUUCCACGAGGUCCGUGCCGCAGCUAACGCAUUAAGUACCCCGCCUGGGGAGUACGG